CCUUUUAUUUCUUGCCAAUGGCUGCUGAAUUUUCUAUCGAAAACCUAAAAAAAAUAGUUUCCAGAAAUGGACAAGCUAGACCUAAAUGUAUUUUGACAAAAUAGAUUUGUGUUUAGAUCCAACCCAGGCUGAAAUAAUACUGAACUGCAUUAAUAUACUUUCACUUCCUCGUGUUGUAUCCAAUGAUGCAAUUUACCAAUCUUCUCUCUCCGUUUCCUACUUUGGUGCUUCAAAUUCAUGCAUGCAUUACUAGAAUAAUAAUUUUACUGUGGCUUUUGUCUUCUUUCUGUAUCAACAUGCAUCUAAUGUGUUUGACGUGUGGAAGGAUGCCAGAGUUGGUGGAAUAGUGAAUUUUAGAUAUGUAUUCUGUAUUUUAGUUGCUGGUCUUUUAUACAUCAAUCCUUUUGUUACUUCCAGGCUUCCUUCAACUUUUGCUCUCAUAAUAUAUCUUUCUCUGGUUGAAGUUUCAACCUCCUGUAGUGUUUGUUGUAUAAGCUGGGCAUUGCGAGUCUGAUUUAGUAACGUUAGUAAAAUAUGAUUCACCAGUUAAGUAACAUCAUACUAUCCUAACUGCCUGUAGAGUUUUGUAUUAUGUGCCUGUAUGAUUGCUGCAAGUAUUAUUCAACUAUGCUUCUUUUAUUGCAGUUUCGUACUUAAAUCUCGAACCAAAAGCUCUAUCAUCCACCUCUAUGUAAGCUAGAAUUAUUCAACAGAUAGGAGUCAUCUUUUACAUGAUUUGUAAAGUAUGUUGUGUUAUGUGGUUGCCUCAUGAAUGGACUUGAAAGAGUAACACUUUUAUCUUCUCGCGGCAAUUUGAACUUAAGAUCUGGCUUCAACUUCUGAUGGCGACCAUAUGUUUGAGCAGCAGUCUCUCAUGAACCUUGGCCAGGUUUUCUUGUAUGCCAUGAUGCACUUACAGAAGGUGAGCCUGGUUGGGGUGUUAUCCUUUCUCCACAGUUUGCUGUCCUAUGGGACCUUUUGGAGGAGACUGGUGAAUGUACUUUGCUUUUCUGUCUCAUGUCAAGGAUAUUAGAAUGAAUCUAUUUAUCGUCAUCUGAUCUGUUGAAUGCUGUGACAAUUUUAUACCCAAUUGCAUGUUGAGUCAAAGAAUACCGUGUGAAGUUGGCUUUUGGGUUUCCUUGUGGGCAAAGUGGGUUCACAAUUUGGGUGUGUUAUAGGUUUUAGAUCAUGGAUAUGUUUCCGUUGAUGGUAGGCCAAUAAAUCUAGGGGGGUAAAUGAUUUCCCCUGCACUGUCU